UGGCAACUGUCAAAGUGGCGCUGUUGUGCAUUGUUCCCAUAACAUUUAAUAUUUGUAUUGGCAUUUUUGAUUAAAAAUUAUUUCAAACACAAUGACGCGUUGUUUUAUGCCAAUAUGCUCAGAAAUUGGAGUACAUCAAUUCCCGAAGAACAAGAAAAUUGGAAGACUGCGGUUAAAGGUUAAUUGACGCGAAAAAAGUACUCCCACAAAAAGUUCGAGGUUAUGUCGGUAACACUUUGUGGAAUCUGACUAUGAAAACAUUAGUAAAUACACAGGUGUCAAACAUCAACAUAAAUAUCUGAAGAAAGGUGCUGUACCAUAUAUAUUGGAAUAUUUAACCAGUUUCUGAAGAAACAAAAAGUAGACAACAAAGGCUACAAACUCUUAACCUUAAAAAACAGCUUUUUAGCCUGUCCAACACUUCCCAAUACUGUGAAGAUAUACAUACUACCCCUUGAAGAACACAGCAAUGUGCAUUUUGAUUCAAAUGUCUCUCAAGAAAUUCUAAUAGAAAAUCAUAACUCUAGUAUAGAUGAAACGAUUACAAGGCAUCAUAUUACUAUUGGAACUCAAACACCCAAUAUAUUAAGAUUGUUCUCUACAGAGCUAUUACUUGCAGACGAUGAGACAGUGCAAUACUACACCGAGUUGGAAACAGCAUCUAAGUUUUCAUUACUUUUAAUCACACUUUUGCCUGUGGCAAAUGAUAUAAGAUAUCGCUGGAGUAGAGUGGUCGGCAUAUCAAUAGAAGAUCAAUUUUGAAUGUUACUAAUUAAGCUUAGAAGAAACACAACAGAUUUUGAAUUAAGUAAAAUUUUUGAUGUAAGUAAAACUGAAGUGUCUAAUAUUGUUGUGACAUGGAUAAAUUUUGUCAGUGAUAUCUGGAGCCUAAUUGACAUUUAGCCUCGCCGCAGCUAAGUAAAUUAUUAUAUGCAUAAUUGUUUUAGAACACAUUAUCCCUCCACAAGGCUCCAAAAGCCUCAUUUAGUUCUUAUAAACAUAAAAAUACGUUGAAAUUUUUGGUAGGAGCUUCACCAGGGGGAUUAUUAACAUAUGUUUCAAACGGCUAUGCUGGUUCUGCAAGUGAUCGACAGAUAGUAGAACAAAGUAAGCUGCUGCAGAUUUGUGAUUCUGGAGAUAGUAUUAUGGCAGACAGAGGUUUUAAUGUACAGGAUCUGUUUGCCCCUAAAGGAAUGAGUAUAAAUAUCCCAUCUUUUUUAAAAGAUAAAUCACAAAUCCCAGAUGUCCAGUUAAAGAUAGAUAUAAAAUUAGCUAGUCAGAGAGUUCACAUAAAACGACUAAUAGGGCUAACAAAAACUUAUUUAAUAUUAAAAAAUGAACUAAAUCAUUUUUAUGUACCUUUAGUAUCUAAAAUAUUUUUCAUGUGUGUAAUGUUAUGUAAUUUUAGAGAAGGAAUUGUUAAUAAAAACAAUUAAAAAUA